GGCAUCUCUGGAUCGAUCCCAUACAAAUGACAAGCGUCGAAUCAAACUACGCACUCCAUCUACUGAAGGUGGAAAUUUGUUAUGAAAGUAGUUGUAAUUACAUCGAUACAAAGACAUUGUGUGUGUGUGUAAUGUCAGUGAAAACGGUGUAAACAAAUCACUCCUGCCAGUGAGUUUGGUUUGCAUUUGAAUCGCAGCAAACAAGUAAUUUCAAGUUCUGUAACUUUCAAUUCAAUGACUAGGUAUAUGGAUUGGCAGAUGCAGCUUUGUCAGUGGUUAAGGCAGUAACCUUCGUUGCUUUCCAAACCGGAACUCCUUCGUCAGCGAUGUUUUCACCAGUUGCAUUGCUGCAAAAAACCAUUGUCAUCCAAGAGAAAACAUUUAGCUGCUUCAGACUGAUGAACCUAUUUUGAAUGAUUCCGGUGUUUUACAGGAUUUUCUGAUUUCAAUGUUUGCAUGCCUGUACAAAAUCUCCAAGAUGUCGUGUGCAGAAAUCUGGCUCGAAAUAGAAUUAACACGGAGAUACAUACAUAUUCUGUUUACUGUGAUAUACUAGGUGAUAUACAGUUGUGAUUGUGGUUUUAAUCGUUUAUUGUUUUUCAAUGAUGAGACAAAUUUAUUCUGUACACUAGCGAUAAUAUCGUAUAAUUUAUAUUAAAAAAAAAACAUGAAGAGAAGGAAGUGAAACUGGUGAUAAUAAAACGUAACUUUCCAUAGCUGUCUGCUUAGGUCUUCUUCGUCUCUAUGAAUUGAAAGUUGUCGGUAUGAGGAAAUAAAUGAGCACUAGCGGCAAAAUAUUUUCGAACGAAAAGAAGCA